UCUUACCUGCGGAUUCGCGUUGCAUGCAGGCUGCAUGUGUCUAGGGUUCGGUCUAAACGACCGUGUUUUACCUGGCGCGCGUUUUAAAUGUUCAAAUUAAUUACAAGUUUGCCAUUCGUUCCAUUAUUUCAUUUAUUUUCUCAAAUUUUUAUUUCAUUUCAUGCUACAACUUCAAAAAAUCAUAAAUAAUUCAUGGAGCAUCCAAAUUGUGUGGGAAUUUUUGCAUUCAUCUCCAUUUUUUAUCUAGUUUUUUAUAGGUAUGAUAACACAAGUUGUGCACGGUUGAUUUUUAAUUUGGUCCAAUAGUUUUGAUCAUGUAUGCUUUGUGCCUAUGUUUUACCUUUUUGC
rnacentral:lncRNA from 1 species